rnacentral:lncRNA from 1 species
UGUGUGUAUGUAUGUAUGUGACUGUAUGUGCUGUUAAGUGUUUAUCACUGUAUGUUUCGUAAUCAUCAUCCAGCACCUGGAGUAGCAUGUCAGGUGAACAGCCAGGCUAACAUCUCCAGCAUAUCAUUAAAGCUUGUUUCUCUCUCUCCUGCACAAACUCUAGAGGCCGACUAGCGAUCACGAAUUCCUGUUUCUUUGCCAGGCUUUUUCUUCUACAUAGUAGUCUUCAACCCUACUCCUGAACUUUCUCUAACGUUCUCAAUAAUUUGUUGCAACUCAUCCUCAGUGUUGCUGAACAGGACAUCAUCAUCUGCAAACCGUAGGUUGUCGAGAUAUGCACUAUUAAUCCUCACUCCUGAGCCUUCCCAGUCUAAUAGCUUGAAUACUUCUAUGCAUGCUGUUAAUUGGAGAGAUUGUGUCUCCUUGUAUGGCCCCUUUCUUGAUAAGUAAUUUUCUACUUUUCUUCUGGAGAAGCAACAUAGCUGUGGAAUCUUUGUAGAUAUUUGUCAAACUAUUCAUGUAUGGCUCCAAUACUUCUUGGUUAUGAAAUGCCUCCAUAACUGCUGGUAUCUCUACUCUAUCUCCUUUUCAUAAUCCAUGAAAGCCGUAUAGAUAGAUUGAUUGUACUCCAGAAAUUUCUCAAUAAGCUGAUUGAUGACAUGGACAUGAUCCAUUGUAAAAUAUCCCUUCCUGAAGCCAGUUUAUUCUCUUGGCUGAUUGAAGUCAACUGUUUCCCUGAUUCUAUUGAAAAUUAUCUUGGUGGAUAUUUUAUACAAUACUUAAACCAAGCUAAUGGGCCUAUAGUUCUUCAAUUCUUUAAUGUCUCGAUUAUUAUGGAUUGUCUCAUGGUUCACUGUGUGCGGCGAUGAAUGGAACGGAUGCCAAGCGCCUGAGACUCGACAUGCCUCAUCGUCACGCUCGUCAACACGAAAAAACUUGUUCGUCGGGGGUGUGCAUCAGGGUUCUUCAGCAGUGCAAGUCCUACUCCUUUGCACUACGUUCACCCCCUCUACGCCAGAGAGUGGUUUUUCUCUGUAUUCCUCCGUGUGAGCUGACCAGUGUGUUGACCCAACAUGCCCUACACUCACCACGUCUACGCCAGUGAGUGGUUUCUUGCCGAAUCCUCUGUGUGGGCUGAUCGGUGUGUUGACAAGGCCCUCUACUAUAGAGCAAGAGAGAAUGAGGUGCCCAGAUGGUGUAGGCUAUAAGAAGGCCAGCGAGAUGCCACAUGGACAUCUUCUCUACGCUUGUGUGCAGGAGCACGCACCCCAACCAUGUCUGUACUUUUUGUCUUAAAGCGCACUGCUCACCUGUAACGUUGAGUAGACCAUAAAUUAUAUUUAUGGUCUUCUCAGCAAUAUGAACCGACUAGCCCAGCAACAUGUACUUCUCACCCGUAACGACGCAUUAAACUUCUGUUAUUGUUUUUACAUCACCUCGUCUUCCCUGCCGUACCCUCUCCAAUGGUCAACCUAGUUCGAGCUCCAAGCAGACGCUGUUGAAGGUUGCCGGAACCCCGCUCCUUUAACAAGCUAUAUUAGCCUUAACCAUUUGUAAGCAGUGGAGGGAUAUGGAUCUACGAGCCUUCUCUACCAAGUCGCGACUGAAUGCAGCGUUUGCGAUGGUCUGCGCCAGAUUCUUGGCUGGAAGGUGGGUCGAGGUUCGUCGUCGAAACGGAUCAUUCUCCUCUCAUAUGGUUGCAGACGUCUUCCAAAAAUGGCCGUCUCCUGCGCUGGAGUCUCGCUUUACAGCAAUAUUCUUUUGAGAUAAGCUAUAAAAAGGGGACCCUCAAUAGCAAUGCCGAUGGCUUGAAUCGAAGCCCCUAGAUCGAGAAUGAGCCUCAAACGUUUCCCAAAACUUUUUUUUCCCCUCACGUAGGGAUUGGAAGGGUAUUAUUUUGGUUUAAGUCAGUUCUUGUGAAGCAUAUAACAAGUUCUUGUAUGUAUUUAGUGCUGCUUUAAGCCCUGUAAAGCUGUCAUUUUUGAGUGGGAAAUAAGCCUGGCAGAGCUCAGCGAGACUUAGUCUUGUGCUUGUUGACUGAGCGGCUGAGUCUUGGCGUAGUUCUUCCAAUGAGGGCUAUGAAUGAGAAACUGUUGCGGACUCUUCUGAGGCAUCAAGACUCUGACCAGGACCUUGAGCGAUGUGGGAAAACAGCCACAGUGUUUUGGUGCUCCAGAGAACUGUGCGACAAUCGAUAACUACCAACACGGACCUGCGUCAUCCCUCUGUCCCGCGGAUGUCAUCCCCUGCCCAUUGAGAUCUCCUUCAGCCACAGGGCAAUCUGUUAUAGUUCACUGUGUUCGGCGAUGAAUAGAACAGAUACUAAGUGGAUGAGACUCGACAUGCCUAAUUGACAUGCUCGUCAACAUGAAGAGACUUGUCCGUCAAAUGUGUGCGACACGAUUAUGCACCAGUGCAAGUCCUACUCUCCUUUGUCUGACAUUGACCCCCUCUACUGCAGAAAGUGGUUUUUCUCUGUGUUUUUUUGUGUGGAUUGCCAGGGAGUGGUUUUUCUCCGUAUUCCUCUGUGUAGCUUGCCAGUAUUCCUCUGCGUGAGCUGAUGAGUGUGUUGACCCGACAGGACCUACGCUCACCACCUCUACGCCAAUGAGUGGUUUCUCUCCGAAUUCCUCUGUGUGUGCUGACAAGUCCCUCUACCAGGGAGCAAGAAAGAAUGAGGUUGCCUGAAUGGUGUAGGCUAUAAGAAGACCACCAAGACACCACGUGGACAACUUCUCUCCCCUUGAAUGCAGGAGCAUGCAUGCCAAAUGUUUCUGUACCUUUUGUCCUAGUGAUCACCGCUCACUCGUAACAAUGUAUUAAACUUCUGUUAUUGUUAUUA